AUUGAACGCUGGCGGCAGGCCUAACACAUGCAAGUCGAACGGUAACAGGAAGAAGCUUGCUUCUUUGCUGACGAGUGGCGGACGGGUGAGUAAUGUCUGUGAAACUGCCUGAUGGAGGGGGAUAACUACUGGAAACGGUAGCUAAUACCGCAUAACGUCGCAAGACCAAAAAGGUGGACCUUCGGGCCUCUUGCCAUCGGCUGUGCCCAGAUGGGAUUAGCUAGUAGGUGGGGUAACGGCUCACCUAGGCGACGAUCCCUAGCUGGUCUGAGAGGAUGACCAGCCACACUGGAACUGAGACACGGUCCAGACUCCUACGGGAGGCAGCAGUGGGGAAUAUUGCACAAUGGGCGCAAGCCUGAUGCAGCCAUGCCGCGUGUAUGAAGAAGGCCUUCGGGUUGUAAAGUACUUUCAGCGGGGAGGAAGGGAGUAAAGUUAAUACCUUUGCUCAUUGACGUUACCCGCAGAAGAAGCACCGGCUAACUCCGUG
rnacentral:rRNA from 1 species